rnacentral:rRNA from 1 species
AGAGUUUGAUUCUGGCUCAGGAUUAACGCUGGCGGCAUGCCGUAAUACAUGCAAGUCGAAUGGUUAGCUUGCUAGACCAUGGCGAACGGGUGAGUAACACGUAGGUAACCUACCUUAAGGACGAGGAUAACCUUUGGAAACGAAGGAUAAUACUGGAUAGGACAUUACAAAGCACAUGCUUAAAUGUUUAAAGGAGCAAUCCACCAUAAGAGGGGCCUGCGGCGCAUUAGCUUGUUGGUGAGGUAAAGGCCCACCAAGGCGAUGAUGCGUAGCUGGACUGAGAGGUUGAACAGCCACAAUGGGACUGAGAACGGCCCAUACCCCUACGGGAGGCAGCAGUAGGGAAUUUUCGGCAAUGGGCAAAAGCCUGACCGAGCAAUGCCGCGUGAUCGAAGAAGUAUUUCGGUAUGUAAAGAUCUUUUAUCGGGGAAGAAAAGACAGAUUGACUGAACCUGAUGAAUAAGCUCCGGCUAACUACGUGCCAGCCGCGGC